GAUGAACGCUGACAGAAUGCUUAACACAUCAGCAAUUGAUUGGUGGCGGACGGGUGAGUAACGCGUAAAGAACUUGCCUCACAGCUAGGGACAACAUUUAGAAAUGAAUGCUAAUACCUGAUACUGUGAGAGAGCUUUGCGUCCCAUUAUCUAGUUGGAGAGGUAACAGCUCACCCAGGCGAUGAUAGGUAGCCGGCCUGAGAGGGUGAACGGCCAGAAGGGGACGGAGACAAGGACCUUACUACUACGGGCGGUAGCAGUGGGGAAGAUUGGACAAUGGACCGAAGUCUGAUCCAGCAAUGCGGUGUGCACGAUGAUGUUUUGGGAAAGUAAAGUGCUUUCAGUUGGUAAGCGGUACGAACAGAAGACGUGACGGCAAAAUACGUGCGAGCAGCCGCGUAAAU
rnacentral:rRNA from 1 species